rnacentral:rRNA from 1 species
GAUGAACGCUGGCGGCGUGCCUAAUACAUGCAAGUCGAGCGAACGGACGAUAAGCUUGCUUCUCUGAUGUUAGCGGCGGACGUGUGAGUAACACGUGGAUAACCUACCUAUAAGACUGGGAUAACUUCGGGAAACCGUAGCUAAUACCGGAUAAUAUUUUGAACCGCAUGGUUCAAAAGUGAAAGACGGUCUUGCUGUCACUUAUAGAUGGAUCCGCGCUGCAUUAGCUAGUUGGUAAGGUAACGGCUUACCAAGGCAACGAUGCAUAGCCGACCUGAGAGGGUGAUCGGACACACUGGAACUGAGACACGGUCCAGACUCCUAAGGGAGGCAGCAGUAGGGAAUCUUACGCAAUGGGCGAAAGCAUGACGGAGCAACGCCGCGUGAGAGAUGAAGGUCUUCGGAUCGUAAAACUCUGUUAUUAGGGAAGAACAUAUGUGUAAGUAAAUGUGCACAUCUUGACGGUACCUAAUCAGAAAGCAACGGCUAACUACGUG